rnacentral:rRNA from 1 species
UUCGCAAUGCCCGAAAGGGUGACGAAGCGACGCCGCGUGUGGGAAGAAGGCCUUCGGGUUGUAAACCACUGUUGGGAGUUAGGAAGUGUGGAGGUGUUAAUAGCGCUUUCACUUGACUAAAGCUCCAGAGGAAGCCACGGCUAACUCUGUGCCAGCAGCCGCGGUAAUACAGAGGCGGCAAGCGUUGUUCGGAAUUAUUGGGCGUAAAGAGCACGUAGGCGGCUCUGCAAGUCAGCUGUGAAAGCCUUCUGCUUAACGGAAGAACGGCAGUUGAAACUACAGGGCUUGAGUGCGGGAGGGGAGAGUGGAACUUCUGGUGGAGCGGUGAAAUGCGUAGAUAUCAGAAGGAACGCCGGCGGCGAAAGCGGCUCUCUGGUCCGUAACUGACGCUGAGUGUGCGAAAGCUAGGGGAGCAAACGGGAUUAGAUACCCCGGUAGUCCUAGCCGUAAACGAUGGGCACUAAGUAGAG